GCCUGGUGCGGUGGCUCACACCUGUAAUCCCAGCACUUUGGGAGGCUGAGGUGGGAGGAUCACUUGAGCCCAGGGGUUCUAGACCAGCCUGGGCAACAAAGCGAGAUCCCAUCUCUA
rfam:Homo sapiens chromosome 16 genomic contig, GRCh38 reference assembly alternate locus group ALT_REF_LOCI_1.